GUAAUCGAGGUACUCGAAUCAUUCAAGGAAUCGUUUCAGCCCUAAAUAAAAGUGAGGAAAACAUUGCAGAAGUUGAUGUUUCUUUGCGAAGGUAGUAGCAUCGUGCGUUGCUUGCUAAGCCUUCCAGUCCCGGGGGCAUGGAAACGUUUCCUCCAUCUUUAAUCAGCUUCUUCCUCCUUCCAGAACCCUGCCGCCAUCCCAUCACUAUGACAAUGACUGCAGUGCAGCGUCUGCAGCUCCCAUCUACAGCACCGUGAAGCCCAAGGUCAAGCCGCUGACCUCGCCCCCCUCAGCCUCGCCCAUUUACGACAUUGCUGCCCCGACCAAUCAGAGGGAGGACCCUCACCUGGUGCCAGCAGAAGCAGAUCACGACUAUGAAGACAUUUCUUCUCCUGCCUCAGAUGUCAGCAGCUUCUUCACACCUGGAGGCAUCGGUUUUAACUGUCGCAUCCAGAAGCCGAAAGGACCCAGAGAUCCUCCAGCAGCCUGGGGGCGGAUGGAGAGGUGAAGUGGUUGAACUGGACCAGUUACCCAUCUGGAAUCACUCCAAACAGCCGUAGUGGUCACCAUUUACCCGACCGACAUCACUGUGAUUUGUUCAGUUACUGUAAUCUCCUCAACACUCUGAUACAUCUUUGUUUUAAAAUUAACCAAAGUGCUUCAAUUUUUUUCCUUAAUUUAACUGAAAUUAAGUCAAGUUUAACUAAACCUCCUAAAAUUUGAAUUUUAUCUAAUUUGUCUUGAUUAUCUGCAGAUUUUGUACCCAAGAGUUUUUGGGUCAUAAUUCACAAACUUUUCCGAUGUGGUUUCAGCUUCAAUAAAAACAGUAACAGCA